UCAGUGAUCGGUAAUCGCCACAAGGACGC
rnacentral:piRNA from 1 species